rnacentral:rRNA from 1 species
AUUGAACGCUGGCGGCAGGCCUAACACAUGCAAGACGAGCGGAGCGGCGGACGGGUGAGUAAUGCCUAGGUAUCUGCCUGGGAGUGGGGGAUAACGUCCGGAAACGGGCGCUAAUACCGCAUACUAUCAGAUGAGCCUAGGUCGGAUUAGCUAGUUGGUGGGGCAAAGGCAUACCAAGGAAACGAUCCGUAACUGGUCUGAGAGGAUGAUCAGUCAACCUGGAACUGAGACACGGCACAGACUCCUACGGUAGGCAGCAGUGGGGAAUAUUCGCCAAUGGGCGAAAUCCUGAUCCAGCCAUGCCGCGUGUGUGACGAAGGUCUUCGGAUUGUAAAGCACUUUAAGUUGGGAGGCGGUACCAACAGAAUAAGCACCGGCUAACUUCGUGCCAGCAGCCGCGGUAAUUC